AUUGAACGCUGGCGGCAUGCUUUACACAUGCAAGUCGAACGGUAACAGGGUGCUUGCACCGCUGACGAGUGGCGAACGGGUGAGUAAUGCGUCGGAACGUGCCGAGUAGUGGGGGAUAACGCAGCGAAAGUUGUGCUAAUACCGCAUACGUACUGAGGUGGAAAGUGGGGGACCUUCGGGCCUCACGCUAUUCGAGCGGCCGACGUCUGAUUAGCUAGUAGGUGAGGUAAAGGCUCACCUAGGCGACGAUCAGUAGCGGGGCUGAGAGGAUGAUCCGCCACACUGGGACUGAGACACGGCCCAGACUCCUACGGGAGGCAGCAGUGGGGAAUUUUGGACAAUGGGCGAAAGCCUGAUCCAGCCAUGCCGCGUGUCUGAAGAAGGCCUUCGGGUUGUAAAGGACUUUUGUCAGGGAGGAAAUCCCUAGUGCUAAUAACACUGGGGGAUGACAGUACCUGAAGAAUAAGCACCGGCUAACUACGUGCCAGCCGCCGCGGUAA
rnacentral:rRNA from 1 species